rnacentral:rRNA from 1 species
AUUGAACGCUGGCGGCAUGCCUUACACAUGCAAGUCGAACGGCAGCGGGGACUUCGGUCCGCCGGCGAGUGGCGAACGGGUGAGUAAAGUAUCGGAACGUACCUUUCAGUGGGGGAUAACGUAGCGAAAGUUACGCUAAUACCGCAUAUUCUGUGAGCAGGAAAGCAGGGGAUCGCAAGACCUUGCGCUGAUUGAGCGGCCGAUAUCAGAUUAGCUAGUUGGUGAGGUAAAGGCUCACCAAGGCGACGAUCUGUAGCGGGUAUGAGAGGAUGCUCGGCCACACUGGAACGGAGACACGGUCCAGACUCCUACGGGAGGCAGCAGUGGGGAAUUUUGGACAAGGGGGGCAACCCUGAUCCAGCCAUGCCGCGUGAGUGAAGAAGGCCUUCGGGUUGUAAAGCUCUUUCGGCCGGGAAGAAAUCGUAUCAGCUAAUACCUGGUGCGGAUGACGGUACCGACAGAAUAAGCACCGGCUAACUUCGUGCCAGCAGCCGCCGUAACAC